rnacentral:rRNA from 1 species
GAUGAACGCUGGCGGCGUGCCUAAUACAUGCAAGUCGAGCGAACAGAUGAGGAGCUUGCUCCUCUUACGUUAGCGGCGAACGGGUGAGUAACACGUGGAGAACCUACCUAUAAGACUGGGAUAACUUCGGGAAACCGGAGCUAAUACCGGAUAAUAUAUUUAACCGCAUGGUUCAAUAGUGAAAGACGGUUUUGCUGUCACCUAUAAAUGUAUCCCCUCCUCAUUAGCUAUUUGUUAAGUUAACGGCUUACAAAGGCAACGAUGCUUAGCCGACCUGGGAGGGGGACCGGCAACACUGGAACUGGGAACCGGUCAAGACUCCUAGGGGAGGCAGCAUUAGGGAAUCUUCCGCAUUGGGCGAAGGCUUGCCGGAGAAAGGCGGGGUGAGGGAUGAAGGUCUUGGGAUCUUAAACCUCUGUUAUAAGGGAAGACGAAAUGUGUAAGUAACUAUGCACGUCUUGACGGUACCUAAUCAGAAAGCCACGGCUAACUACGUG